GGGGCUGUAGCUCAGUUGGAAGAGCACCUGCUUUGCAAGCAGGAUGUCGUCGGUUCGAUCCCGUCCAGCUCCACCA
rnacentral:tRNA from 1 species